GGAUGUGAUGGGGAGCGAAAUUUAGUAGCGAAGUAGCUGAUUUCACACUGUCAAGAAAAGUCUCUAUCGAGGUUAAAGGUACCCGUACCGCAAACCGACACAGGUGGGUGAGGAGAGUAUCCUAAGGCCAGCGAGAGAACUGUUGUUAAGGAACUCGGCAAAAUGACCCCGUAACUUAGGGAUAAGGGGUGCCACCAUCAGGUGGCCGCAGAGAAUAGGCCCAAGCGACUGUUUACCAAAAACAUAGGUUUCUGCUAAGUCGCAAGACGAUGUAUAGGAGCUGACGCCUGCCCGGUGCUGGAAGGUUAAGGGGAUCUGUUAGAGCAAUCGAAGCAGUGAACUUAAGCCCCAGUAAACGGCGGCCGUAACUAUAACGGUCCUAAGGUAGCGAAAUUCCUUGUCGGGUAAGUUCCGACCCGCACGAAAGGCGUAACGAUUUGGGCACUGUCUCAACAACAGACUCGGUGAAAUUGUAAUUCCGGUGAAGAUGCCGGAUACCUGCGACAGGACGGAAAGACCCCAUGGAGCUUUACUGUAGCUUGACAUUGGGUCUUGGUACUACAUGUACAGGAUAGGUGGGAGGCUUUGAAACCAGGACGCCAGUUUUGGCGGAGCCAUCCUUGGGAUACCACCCUUGUAGUACUGGGACUCUAACCAUAGGCCAUGAAUCUGGUCUUGGGACACUGUCAGGUGGGCAGUUUGACUGGGGCGGUCGCCUCCCAAAAGGUAACGGAGGCGCUCAAAGGUUCUCUCAGUACGGUCGGAAAUCGUACGUAGAGUGUAAAGGCAAAAGAGAGCUUGAUUGCAAGACAUACAGGUCGAGCAAGGAUGAAAAUCGGACUUAGUGAUCCGGUGGUUCUGCGUGGAAGGGCCAUCGCUCAACGGAUAAAAGCUACCCUGGGGAUAACAGGCUUAUCUCCCCCAAGAGUCCACAUCGACGGGGAGGUUUGGCACCUCGAUGUCGGCUCAUCACAUCCUGGGGCUGUAGUAGGUCCCAAGGGUUGGGCUGUUCGCCCAUUAAAGUGGUACGCGAGCUGGGUUCAGAACGUCGUGAGACAGUUCGGUCCCUAUCCGUCGCAGGCGUAGGAAAUUUGAGAAGACCUGUCCUUAGUACGAGAGGACCGGGAUGGACGUACCUCUGGUGUACCAGUUGUCCUGCCAAGGGCAUGG
rnacentral:rRNA from 1 species